GUUCAUAGUGAUGGCCGAUGAGGCCACCCUGGCCUAUUAAGGCUUCUGUGUCAUGGGGGUGAUGGUGUCUGAGUGAUU